rnacentral:rRNA from 1 species
AUAGAUACCCGGGUAGUCCAUGCCGUAAACGUUGGGCACUAGGUGUGGGGGACAUUCCACGUUUUCCGCGCCGUAGCUAACGCAUUAAGUGCCCCGCCUGGGGAGUACGGCCGCAAGGCUAAAACUCAAAGGAAUUGACUGGGGCCCGCACAAGCGGCGGAGCAUGCGGAUUAAUUCGAUGCAACGCGAAGAACCUUACCAAGGCUUGACAUGAACCGGAAACGCCUGGAAACAGGUGCCCCACUUGUGGUCGGUUUACAGGUGGUGCAUGGAUGUCGUCAGCUCGUGUCGUGAGAUGUUGGGUUAAGUCCCGCAACGAGCGCAACCCUCGUUCUAUGUUGCCAGCACGUGAUGGUGGGGACUCAUAGGAGACUGCCGGGGUCAACUCGGAGGAAGGUGGGGACGACGUCAAAUCAUCAUGCCCCUUAUGUCUUGGGCUUCACGCAUGCUACAAUGGCCGGUACAAAGGGUUGCGAUACUGUGAGGUGGAGCUAAUCCCAAAAAGCCGGUCUCAGUUCGGAUUGGGGUCUGCAACUCGACCCC